rnacentral:ncRNA from 1 species
UAUAAAUUUUAUUUUAGUUUUAAAGUUAGAAAUUAAGUUAAAUGUAUAUAAAUUUAAAAUUUGAAAAUACAAAAAAUUAACAUUUAAAAUUUAAAAAUUAGAGCAAUCUGAUAAAAGAAUUUAUCUAGAUCCCAACUAAUUAGGUGCCAGCAGUUGCGGUUAAACCUAAGGUUAACUAACUUAUAUAUUUAGAGAUAUUAUAUUGAUUAAAAAGACAAAUUAAAACCAAGUUUUAAAUAAGUAAAAUUUUUAAAACUUAGAUAGCUCUUCCCAAUAAAAAUAUAAGUUUCUACUAAAAACUAGGAUUAGAUACCCUACUAUUAAGAAUUAAUAUAAUUAAAGUAGUAAAAGAAAAUCUUCAAACUUAAAAAAUUUGGCGGUAGCUUAACCUAACUAGAGGAAUCUGCCCUAUAAUUGACAGUCCACAAUCUAUGAUAUUUCAAACAAAUAAUAUUUAUAUAUCGCUGUCAAAUAUAAAUUAAAAAAUAGUUAUUUAAAGUCUGCUCAACCUCAUAAAAUCAAGUCAACACAUAAUUUUUUGAAAAUGAGGUGGAUUACAUUUAAAUUAAUUUAGUAGAAUAAACUAAAUAACUGAAGUUUUUAAAAAGGAUUUAGAAGUAAGUUAAAAUUAAGUUAUUUAACUAAAUUUGAUAUAAGCUAUGUACAAAUCGCCCGUCAUUCUUACAUAAAUUAAGACAAGUCGUAACAAAGUAAGAUCACUGGAAAGUGAUAUUAGAUA